rnacentral:rRNA from 1 species
UACAGAGGGGGCAAGCGUUAUUCGGAAUUAUUGGGCGUAAAGGGCGCGUAGGCGGCUUUGCAAGUGACGGGUGAAAUCCCUCGGCUUAACCGAGGAACUGCCUGUCAAACUGCAUGGCUUGAGACCGGGAGAGGUGAGUGGAAUUUCCCAGUGUAGCGGUGAAAAUGCGUAGAUAUUGGGAGGAACACCAGUGGCGAAGGCGGCUCACUGGAUCUCUUCUGACGCUGAGGCACGAAAGCUAGGGAGA